UGGUAACGCCUUAAAAUAGUGAACGGGAUGCUGCGUUAUAAUCUUUUAAAUAGCCCCUAAGAACGUCCAUCCAGUCUGAUCUUUGCCUAAUGUGAUAUACCCUUGCAAUGAGAGCGUAUCUUCACUAACUUCUGCAUUGGACUCGUUUCCAAUUUUAUUGUAACCUGCCAGGUGUGGUGAUCACGUGAUACAGGUAAUCUCCGAUAGACACAGAGCUUUGCGCAGCGUUGGCCAUUUUUGAACGCUUUCGCUGGCAUUUCGCUAUAAUACCAAAGCAGCAUGUCAAAAACAUUGUCGAUAAUUUGGUUUUGCGCGGCAGUGCUUGGCUUUAAGUUCUUGCGGGCUCAGAUCCUGCCACCGCCUGUGUUCGAGGACCCAGUUGCUGAGACAUUGAAAGGACACGUUCGUGGGAAAGUAGUGACAUUCUGGGAGAUUGAUCCGAAGGAUCCCUAUCAAAAUAAGAGGAUAUACUACAACAUCAGUACCUUUUUGGGAAUUCCGUAUGCUCAGCCACCAGUCGUCAGUACCACGGGCACUUUACGAUUUAAGUAUCAGAGGCUGCAGUGCCUUGGCAGGGUACACUAGAAACGAAAGUGUACGGAGCAGCAUGCCCGCAGAUUCCCCAGGGAAAACUUGGACAGCUAAUCAAGAAAGUUCAUGAGGACUGCCUUUAUCUAAACGUAUUUUCGCCAAACACGUCGCAGACAAUGACCAGAAGUACCCGCGUCAUCAGCC